rnacentral:rRNA from 1 species
GACGAACGCUGGCGGCGUGCUUAACACAUGCAAGUCGAACGGAAAGGCCCUGCUUUUGUGGGGUGCUCGAGUGGCGAACGGGUGAGUAACACGUGAGUAACCUGCCCUUGACUUUGGGAUAACUUCAGGAAACUGGGGCUAAUACCGGAUAGGAGCUCCUGCUGCAUGGUGGGGGUUGGAAAGUUUCGGCGGUUGGGGAUGGACUCGCGGCUUAUCAGCUUGUUGGUGGGGUAGUGGCUUACCAAGGCUUUGACGGGUAGCCGGCCUGAGAGGGUGACCGGGCACAGUGGGACUGGGAAACGGCCCAGAGUCCUACGUGAGGCAGCAGUGGGGAAUAGUGCACAAUGGGCGGAAGCAGGAUGCAGCAACGCCGGGUGGGGGAGGACGGCUUUCGGGUUGGAAAAUGCUUUCGCCUGUGACGAAGCGUGAGUGACGGAAAUGGGUAAAGAAGCACCGGCUAACUACGU